rnacentral:lncRNA from 1 species
GGCAAGGAAGAUAGGCCAAUAUAGAUGUAGAUUCGGAAAAUCAAAAAAGGAAUAAGAAAAAAGCAGGGUAGAAAAAUACAUUCCAUACUUGAAAUUCAAGAUCGUUUCCUUUCAGUAAUGGAGAAAAAAAAAAGAGAGAUCGGGCGUUGAGGAGAGAAACAGGGAAAGGAAUAUUGGCUUGAGAUGAGACUACUGUAAAUGCUUCUCUUUUUUAUUAUGAUAUAAGCAAUAGAAGGAAAUUGAUCCUCAGGGAAGCAAAAAAAGCUUAACCUGUUGGAAAAAGGUUGGGAUUUAGCAUAAAAGGGGACGAGCUUGAAGUAAUAAAUGAAAUAAUAAGGUUAGAGGGGGACUGUAGAGUUGUGGAGCAGAAGGAAUUCGGGGAUCGGCCAUAACUGAAAUAGGUAUGGUUUUUUAUUACUUGGAUUAUCUUUGUCAUUUUUCAAUUGCAUUUUUGUUUUGUGAGUUGGUAUGAGGAUUGUGUAGUGGAAUAUUAAAGGUAUGGGCUCAGAAGCUAAGAUAUUAUCUGUUAAAAGAGUCAUAUCAACGCAAGGGUGAUUAGCUGUUUUAUUUAAGAAACUAAGUUAGAAACAAUCACUAUUGACAUAACAAGGAAAAUAUGGUGUGACGAUAUUUUGGAUUAUAGAUUUUCGGAAACUAUUGGGUGUUCAGGAGGUGUGGUUAAGAUUUGGGAUAGAGGUGGUGUUCAAGUGGAUAAAGAUCUUUGUGAUGAAAGGUUUGUAUUAGUAAAAAGGAAAUGGUCGGUUGCAGGCAUGGAAGCAACCCUAAGUAAUGUUUAUGUCCAUAAUGCAAUUUUUGUUCAAAAGAUAUUAUGGAUGAAUCUUUUAACCUUAAAGAACUUGUUUUCUUGUCUUCGGAGUAUUCGUGGUGAUUACAAUACAGUGAAAAAUAGAAGUGAAAGAAGCAAUUGUGUGAGUUUAAAGAAAGGUAAAAACGAAUUUAAUAACUCCAUCGACAACUGCAAAAUGGUGGAUUUAACUUUGACGAGGAAAAAAUUUUCUUGGUACGAACCUAAUAAUAAGAGGAGCAGAUUGGAUCAAUUUUUAUUGGAAGAGCAUUGACUUUUACGUUUCAAUGACUUCUGACAGCAGGGAUUAAGUAUAUCUAUUUCUAACCAUCUCUUGGUCUUGUUAUUGAAUGAAUUAGUAGAUUGGUGACAACAUCCGUUAUUAAUGCGUGGCUCACAAAAAGGAUUGUUCAAGCCUUAUCAACAAAGUAUAGGGAGAGAUGGGAAUAUCGAAUAUGUGGAUGUCUGGAAAGUUGAGGAAAUUGAGGGUCGCUCUCAAAAAGUGGAAUGAAAAUUUCGGAAGUAAACUAGUUUAAAGGACCGAAGUAAUUGGAAAAUAAGAUAAUGGAAUUGAAUGAAAUCAAUGAUUGAGGAGAUUUAAAUGAAUCAGAAAUGGAUGAGCUUAGACGAUUGAAUAUUGAAUUGUGGGUAGCAAUUAAAUGUCGUGAACCGAUUUGGUGUCAAAAAUAAGAAUUAUUUUGUUAGGUGAAGGUGAUUCCAAUUUUGUUUCUUUCAUAAAGUAGUAAAAAUUAGAUCGAAGGAAAAGAUAGUGCAUGGCUUAAAAUUUGAGAAUUCAUGGUGCAAUGAUACAAAGUUUUUGAAGGAAAAAAUGUUCAAUUCGUUCAGUAAUUACUUUAACAGCUCAUCGAGAAAAUGGUUAGUGGAUAUGGCUUUGAACUUUAAGAAGAUUUUCGAGGAAGAUGCAGCGAAACUAAAGUUAUCUUUCACGUUGAAAGGGAUUAAGGAAGCAUUAUGGAGUUGUGACACCAAUUCAUUAGUGUUAAUUUCACAUUAGUUUAUACAAAUGGUAAUGGUAUGGCUACAAUGUUGGCUAUUGCUGGGGUGAGAAGAUCAACGUUAGUUAAAGCUUGAUGGUGAUCUAUUCUUGAUUAUUUUUUAGUUGUUUGUUUAGAUGUUGGACUUUUUGUUUCCUUGUUCAAUUGGGUGUUUUUUUUAUUUUUGACAAGGAAUGAGGUUGGUGUUACCUAAUGUCUUUCUAUUAUUAAUAUAUGCAUAUCGAUUGAGCAAAAAAAGUUAUCUACUACUUUAUUACGGUGUCAACUUAUAUGAUCAUUCCAAAACUAAUAAUUAAUAUUCCAAAACUUUUUAUGCACACAUUUUAACUUAAAUAUUAGGGUUAAUUGCACUAAACAUGGACAAACUGUGAUCAUGAUUUCAAAGCAAUCCUUAAACUUUAAAAUAUUCUAAUUGCAUUCUCAAACUUUUGGUGUUGUAUUUAUUAGUUCCUUACAUCAACGAAACUUUUCACUUAACUGUUAAACACCAUGUCAUAUAUGAUGUGGAUAAAAUCAUAAUAAGAUGCGAAUAAUUUUUUAGGCAUUUAUGCUAACGUGGAAAAUUAACAAUUAAAAUAAAGUUAAAAAAGGGGUCAUAUAUACCUAAAUUAAACAAUAAUAAAAAUAAAAAAAUUAUAUUAAAACAAAAAGUAGAGAACCCUCAAUUAAACAGAAAAUUCUUUAUUUAUUAUUUAAAAAAAUUACUAUGUAAAUGUGCAAAUAUUUUAGUUUUAUUUAUUGUUUUUUCAAUUGUUCCUUUUGAGUUGUUUUAGGAUGGUUUGCUCAGCUUCUCGAAUGAGAAGGCACUUGUAGUGUUGUGAUAACUCAGAACAUGAUUAAGUCCUUAGGUGAGCCAUGCAGCUUCUGUUGAAUUCACAGAAUCUUUAGAAAGAAAGUAGAAUAGAAGAAAAAGAAGAAGAAGAAGAAGAAGAAGAAGAGGGAGGGAAGGAGGGAGGAAAUAGAAUCUGUAAUAAUUGUCAGUUGGAAAAACCAAUAAUUUUCCCCUCUAUUUAUAACAGAAUUCUAGUAGUUUAGUUGGUAUAAAAGACUAACACAAAACAAAUUGUUUCAUUAAAGUCCCAUUAUAUUUCCCCAUAUGACAUUGUUUUAUUUUAAUACACAACAAUUUCUCCCUACUAAUGAAAUUCUUGUCCUCAAGGAUCAAAAUAAGGGAAUUGUUGUUUCAAGUCAUGCAAGACCUCCCAUGUAUGCAUAUUUAAGGAAUGAGUUAGUCCAUUGCACCAAAAUAUCUUUCACAACUCGGUUUCCAUGAUUGGCCGUCCUUUUUUCUCUCAUUUGGUAGGUAGCUAUUUUACAAUUGCUCCAUAAGAUCCAAUGAUUAGCAACUCAGCAUGACAUUCUUCCUUUACCACAUGUUUCUUUAACUUUUAAACAUGAAAAGUGGAGCGCACCUUGGACCCAGGUGGCAGUUGCAACUAAUAAGUAACUUUCCCCACUCCAACCAACACAAGAAAUGGACCAAAGAACUUGGGAGAAAGUUUUUGGUUACCCCUUAUCUUGAUUGAAUGUUGUUUGUAUUGUUGUAAAUUUAAGUACACCAUAUCCUCAACUAAAAACUCCCUUUCACUCAUUUUUUAUAAGCCAUAUGCUUUAUUCUGUCCCUGGACCUGUGCAAGUAGAAUUUCAAUAUUUUUAAGGUCACCUCACGAUGUUGCAAACUUAUAUCCACUAUUGCUACCAAAGAAGAACCUACCAAAUAGGGAACAUGCAAUGGAGGUGGUUGUAAAUGCAAAACUUCAAAUAGAUAGGUGUGAAUUGCAAUAUGAUAACAUGUAUUGUACCACCAUUUAGCAAGAAGGAGCCAACUGUACCAAUCACCUGGCCUCUUUCCUAAUCAUACACCUAAGCUAUCCUUCCAAACAUCUAUUGAGCACCUCAAUUAGCCCAUUUGUCUGAGGAUAAUUGGUUGUAGACAACUUGUGCUUAGUUCCUAAUCUCUUAAACAACUCUUGCCUGAAAGUAAUGAUGAAAAUCUUGUCUCUAUAAAAACAAUUGAAUCAAGUACCCCAUGUAAUUUAUACACUUAAUUCAAAUACUAUUGUUUCAUAAUCAAGGUGGUGUGGGGAUAGACCAACCCAAAAAAUGGUCUUAUUUGGUUAAUUUGUCUCCCACAAGUAUGAAACUCUUACCCUUUGAAAUAAGAAGACCAUCAAUGAAAUUUAAGCUUACUUCUGCCCAUGCUCUACCUAGCACAAGCAAAGGCUGUAGCAAACAUGGAAAGGCUGCAUUAUCAACUUUGCCUAUCUGACAUACCACACAUUCAGCCACCCAUCUCUUAACGUGUCUACUAAUUCCUUUCCAAUAUAAAAUACCAGACAUCCUACUCCUAGUAGCAUCCUAAAGCACUAUUCUGGAAGUAGUCAAAUAGGUCUUUCUUUAAAUCCCCAUCUUUUCCAAGUACCAACUUCCCUUUUUCUCUUUAAGCAUUGCCAUCCUAUGAAUACUUAGGAUGAGAAGUAUCAUUGAAUCCUACAUCAAAAAUUAUCUUCUACAACUUGCUAUAUGUUUGCCAAUACCCUUGAAUCCUUGGAACUAAAAUAGAAAUAAUUAAAAUUCCAAUCAGUUGAGAGAAUUAAGCCCUAGCCAUAGUUUUCCCAUCCACCAAAUAGGAUUCCUAGACAAUAAAUCAGUAGUUAUAUUAGUGGCACCCUUCCUACAACAUAUCUCAUAGUCAUUCCUUAACAUCUUGGCUACCUUUUUAUAUUGAAAUGGCAUGAUAGCCUAAUUGUUUAAAAGUAAUCUUAAACUCUGAUGAUUUGUACAAAUUGUAAAAUGUAUGCCAAUAAAGUAAAACUCCAUUUCUUUACAGCCAUGAGCACAACUAGCAUCUUCUUGUCAUAAAUGGAUAAAGCUUGGUGCCUUGGCCCCAAAGUUUUACUAAAAUAGGCUAAGGGUUGCCCCUUCUAUUGUAACACGACUUUACCUACAAGCUAAAAGCCAAUCUCAACUAUGAACUCACAAUUGAAGUUUGGAAAGGCUAGUAUAGGUGUUGAACAGAAAGCCAUUUUAAGCUGUUGAAAGGUCCCCUCAGCUAUCUCACCCUAUUACUAUUGGUUCUUUUUCAAAAGAAUCAAUUAAAGGUUUUUCCAAACUGCUAUAGUCCAUCAAAAAACUUUUAUAAUAGCUAGACAACCCCCAAAAAUCCUUUCAGAUCCUUAAUAGAUUGAGGAGCUGGCCAAUCUAGCACACAAUACAUCUUGGACUUGUCCAUAGCAACUUCUUCUUUAAAAAAUAAUGUAGCUUAAGUACUCAACUUCCCUAGCUCCAAAGCUACAUUUAUUCUUCUUAGCAUAAAACUUAUGCUUCCUCAAUAGCUACAAGACUUUCAUCAAAUACUUCAAAUAACUAAACCCAUCCUUUGAAUAUAUUAAUAUAUCAUCAAAAAAGACACUAUCACAAAUUUCUACAGUCAAGGCCUAAAAACUGGAUUUAUCAAGGCUUGAAAAUUGAAAGGGGCACUGGUGAGCCUAAAGGGCAUCACCAAUAACUCAUAGUGGCCCUCAUGAUUUUUUAAAGGAAUUUUGUGGAUGCUUUCUUCCUUUAUUCUGAUAUGAUGAUAGCCAUAUCUCAGGUCCAAUUUAGAAAGAUAGGCAACCAGUCUAAACUUAUCUAACAACUCUUCUGUUAUUGGAAUGGGAAACUUGACCUUCGCAAUGAGUUGAUUCAACUAUCUUUUUUAACCAUCAUAAUUAAAUAUGCAAAUGAAUUAUUAUUGGCUCUAAUUAUCCCCGUAGAUGAUAUCUCAUUAAUCAAUUUCUCAAUCUCAUCCUUUUGAAUUAUGGGGUGCCUAUAUGGUCUCACCUUAACCACUUUUGUCUCAUCCUUAAGGGAUAUCUUACGAUCUUGUGACCUUAAUGGGGGAAACUUAGAAGCCUCUUGAAAUGCAUAAUUGAAUUCCUACAACAAGGUCUAUAAUUCCUAAUGAACUUCAUAUUUCUUCACCACUAAUUUUUAUUGUGCUUGAGCAGCCAUAAGAUAAGCCCUGAACUUAAUUGUCCCUUAAAUCCCACCAUAGAUAAGGAUUUAGAACUCAAUUUGGCAUCCAUCAACUGAAUCGCACCUAGCACAAUGCCCUUUAGCACACAAGGCUGAUGCUCAUACAUAAAUUGCAUGGACAAGUAAGCAAAAUUCCAAAUAAUAAGGCCAAGUUCCACUAACCACUGUAUAACCAAGACCACAUCACAUCCUUUGAAGGGUAGGAUCAUGAAAUCAGUCGCAAAUUUUAGACAUUGAGUUUCCCAUUAUACAUUCUUACAUUUUCCCUUGGUGAAUUCAAAACCUCCAUCGACCACUACCACUCUUAAAUUGUACUAUCUCCAUAUAGGCACACCUAACAUCUUAACAACCUCCACAAUCAAUAAAUUAUGAAUACUACUAAAAUAACCAAUACCACCACCUAUUGACUUCCAAAAUAAGAUCUUAUCCAUAUUGUCACUCCCUCAUUAGACUUUUACAUUACAUGAAGAGAUAAAGUGAGAAGAGUUCGGUCACUAUCUUGUGUUUGAACUAGAUUCUCACAAUCCAAAAAUUUAUCCUCCCCCUGACCUUCAACCUCAUCUAACAAGAUUUGGUAUAACUGAGAUAUAGUACAUCUAUGCCCUAGAAAAGACUUAGCUCCUCACCAAUAAUAAAGCUCUUCUUUUUCCUACCUUCUAUUUCGAUAGGAGAAAGGUGUUGGAAAAAUCUGGUUUAGAAAAAGGUUUUAUAUCAUAGCGGAAAAUUAAAAUUUGAAAAUUGAAUCCUUUUUAUAUUUAUAGUAAUAACCUAUUUCUCGAAAAAUACUUGUACUUUUUGUGAGACGGAUUCUCGACCUUCUUGACUUUCAACUAAACGAUCUUCUCCAUUAUUCUUGCACCACAAAUUGCUUUGAGUCUGGGCUUGGACAAUCACAAACCAAGCACAUAACCUGAAAUGAUUUAUUACUUUCAAUAGAAAAGUAAUUCACUCUCAAUAGAAACGAAUAGAAUUCUAGUUCUCAAAAAAUAGAACUUAUUCUUAAAAAAUAAAUUCUCACUACUUUCUGGCAAAAUAAUAAUAUUUGAAACUUCCUCUUCUAUUAAUAGCACUACUAGUGUUAUCUAUUUAUAGAGAGAGAUAGAAGAAUCCUAGUUGAAUUAGUAAAACACAAAUAAUAUUUAUUUAAUAAGAAACAAUAUUAUACAAGUAAAAUAGGAUGGAUGACACACCUUUGUAAAACUACAAGGUUUUCUGCCCCUCUCAUGUAUGAGAGUAUUUGGACCUCUCCAAUUAUAUGUGAUUCCUGAACUUUUAAUCCAACACUUUAUACUUUAACCCAACCACAAUACAUGUUUUCUAUUUCCUAAAAUAAAUAUUAUUUCUGAUUAAAUAAUUUUCUCAAUUCAAUUCUAAUUUCAUAAAAGUCAUGAUAGUUUUAUCGUAAAAGAAUCUAUGAAGAAAUAUAUUAAAUUUUCAUAUUCAAUGGAGUCACAAUUACUAAUUAAUUUAAUUCCAUUUUUGAACUUCAAUUAAUUAAUUAAUAAUUCUAAAACCUUCAAUUAAUUACCAUUUCAUUUCUAUACUCAGUGAGAAAGCACAUUCACUUGUAAACAUGACCCUUUCUCUAAUUCAUCAUUUUCAUCCAUUUAUGUUCAUUUGGUUCUACAUGAAAUUCAUUUCUGGUGUCAACGAGCUAGCAGAGGGACCAGUUGAAAAUAUGUAAUUACGACUCUAGUAAUUUAUAAUUAAGUUUGAGCUUUUCACCUACUAAUUAUAAAAUUAUUUAUUAAUGAAGUAAUUCCACUAUAGUAUCGUAACUAAGCUUUCCCUAGUUUCAUAGGUUGUGAAAGAAAGUCUACAACAACAGUACAAUUGAAUGAUCCAUCUUGUUUGCGAGUGGUCACAUGGCCUAACACGACUGACCCGUUGCUUGGAGAGAUUGAAGGCCCACAUACAUAACAUGGAAAAUAUGGGAAGUAGUCUUAGAAGAUUUGGUUCUGUAAAUAUUAGGAGAUUUGAUUUGUAGAUUGCUUUUAAUCUUGGUCAUUGAUGUACUUUAUUUUGUACUGUUGGAUCUAGGGGAGCUCAACUAUAAAUAGAGGCUUCUCCCCCUCAUUUGUAAUCACUUCAUUCUUGAGUAAUAGAAUUCUUCAAGAGCAUUCACUCAAA